GACGAACGCUGGCGGCGUGCUUAACACAUGCAAGUCGAACGGAAAGGCCCUGCUUUUGUGGGGUGCUCGAGUGGCGAACGGGUGAGUAACACGUGAGUAACCUGCCCUUGACUUUGGGAUAACUUCAGGAAACUGGGGCUAAUACCGGAUAGGAGCUCCUGCUGCAUGGUGGGGGUUGGAAAGUUUCGGCGGUUGGGGAUGGACUCGCGGCUUAUCAGCUUGUUGGGGGGGUUGUGGCUGACCAAGGCUUUGACGGGUAGCCGGCCUGAGAGGGUGACCGGCCACAUUGGGACUGAGAUACGGCCCAGACUCCUACGGGAGGCAGCAGUGGGGAAUAUUGCACAAUGGGCGGAAGCCUGAUGCAGCAACGCCGCGUGCGGGAUGACGGCCUUCGGGUUGUAAACCGCUUUCGCCUGUGACGAAGCGUGAGUGACGGUAAUGGGUAAGGAAGCACCGGCUAACUACGUG
rnacentral:rRNA from 1 species